rnacentral:rRNA from 1 species
UAACGCGUGGGUAACCUGCCCUGUACACACGGAUAACAUACCGAAAGGUAUGCUAAUACGGGAUAAAAUACUUUUAUCGCAUGGUAGAAGUAUCAAAGCUUUUGCGGUACAGGAUGGACCCGCGUCUGAUUAGCUAGUUGGUAAGGUAACGGCUUACCAAGGCGGCGAUCAGUAGCCGACCUGAGAGGGUGAUCGGCCACAUUGGAACUGAGACACGGUCCAAACUCCUACGGGAGGCAGCAGUGGGGAAUAUUGCACAAUGGGCGAAAGCCUGAUGCAGCAACGCCGCGUGAGCGAUGAAGGCCUUCGGGUCGUAAAGCUCUGUCCCCAAGGAAGAUAAUGACGGUACUUGAGGAGGAAGCCCCGGCUAACUACGUGCCAGCAGCCGCGGUAAUACGUAGGGGGCUAGCGUUAUCCGGAAUUACUGGGCGUAAAGGGUGCGUAGGUGGUUUCUUAAGUCAGAGGUGAAAGGCUACGGCUCAACCGUAGUAAGCCUUUGAAACUGGGGAACUUGAGUGCAGGAGAGGAGAGUGGAAUUCCUAGUGUAGCGGUGAAAUGCGUAGAUAUUAGGAGGAACACCAGUUGCGAAGGCGGCUCUCUGGACUGUAACUGACACUGAGGCACGAAAGCGUGGGGAGCAAACAGGAUUAGAUACCCUGGUAGU